rnacentral:rRNA from 1 species
CACACCGCCCGUCGCUACUACCGAUUGAAUGGCUCAGUGAGGCCUUCGGACUGGCCCCAGGAGGUCGGCAACGACCACCCAGGGCCGGAAAGUUGUCCAAACUCGGUUAUUUAGAGGAAGUAAAAGUCGUAACAAGGUCUCCGUUGGUGAACCAGCGGAGGGAUCAUUGUUGGAGGGGCGCAAGCCCUCUGCCAGACACCCCUUUGUGAACACUACCCGUUGCCUCGGCGUGGACCGGGGGGGUUAACGUCUGGGCCCCUCGGGCCUGGAACCCCCCGCCUGCGCGCCCCACCGCGGUGGGCGCGCAGGAGCCCUGCCCGCCGUCGGCCCCCACCAGAACUCUUGUUUUCGGGCCCCGGCCUGCCACCUCUGAGACAGACAAACAAAUCAGUCAAAACUUUCAACAACGGAUCUCUUGGCUCUGGCAUCGAUGAAGAACGCAGCGAAAUGCGAUAAGUAAUGCGAAUUGCAGAAUUCAGUGAGUCAUCGAAUCUUUGAACGCACAUUGCGCCCGCCAGCAUUCUGGCGGGCAUGCCUGUUCGAGCGUCAUUUCAACCCUCAGGCCCCCAUGCCUGGUGUUGGGGCGCUACCGCCCCCCCGUGGCGGUAGGCCCCCAAAUCGAUGGGCGGGCUCGCCGGUCUCCCGAGCGCAGUAGCUUUACGUCUCGCUCCGGGCGGCGCCGGCGCGGCCUGGCCCCUAAGCAGCGCCUCCCUCCCCCCCGGGGAGGGGGCGCACCCCCCCACACAAGGUUGACCUCGGAUCAGGUAGGAAUACCCGCUGAACUUAAGCAUAUCAAUAAGCGGAGGAAAAGAAACCAACAGGGAUUGCCCCAGUAACGGCGAGUGAAGCGGCAACAGCUCAAAUUUGAAAUCCGGCCGCGAGGCCCGAGUUGUAAUUUGCAGAGGAUGAUUCUGGCGCGGCGCCUUCCGAGUUCCCUGGAACGGGACGCCACAGAGGGUGAGAGCCCCGUAUGGUCGGCCGCCAAGCCUGUGCGAAUCUCCUUCGACGAGUCGAGUAGUUUGGGAAUGCUGCUCAAAACGGGAGGUACAUCUCUUCUAAAGCUAAAUACCGGCCAGAGACCGAUAGCGCACAAGUAGAGUGAUCGAAAGAUGAAAAGCACCUUGAAAAGGGGGUUAAACAGUACGUGAAAUUGUUGAAAGGGAAGGGCUCGUGACCAGACUUGGGCCCGGCGGCUCAUCCGGCGUUCUCGCCGGUGCACUCCGCCGGGCCCAGGCCAGCAUCGGUUCCCAGCCGGGGGAGAAGAGCGACGGGAACGUGGCCGCCCUCGGGCGGUGUUAUAGCCCGGCGCACGAUGCCCCGGCGGGGACCGAGGUCCGCGCCUCGCGCAAGGAUGCUGGCGUAAUGGUCACCAGCCACCCGUCUUGAAACACGGACCAAGGAGUCGUCCAUCAGAGCGAGCGUUUGGGUGCCAAAACCCGCACGCGCAGUGAAAGCGAACGCAGGUGAGAGCUUCGGCGCAUCAUCGACCGAUCCCGAAGUUUACGGACGGAUUUGAGUAGGAGUUUUGCUGGACGGACCCGAAAGACAGUGAACUAUGCUUGUAUAGGGUGAAGCCAGAGGAAACUCUGGUGGAGGCUCGCAGCGGUUCUGACGUGCAAAUCGAUCGUCAAAUAUGAGCAUGGGGGCGAAAGACUAAUCGA